rnacentral:rRNA from 1 species
UAAUGGCAGGUCAGCAUACUGCCGUGAAUACGUUCCCGGGCCUUGUACACACCGCCCGUCACACCAUGAGAGUUGGAAAUACCCGAAGCCUGUGAGCUGACCUUUUGGGGGGCAGCAGUCGAAGGUAGAGCCAAUGAUUGGGGUGAAGUCGUAACAAGGUAUC